rnacentral:rRNA from 1 species
CAGUGGGGAAUAUUGCACAAUGGGCGCAAGCCUGAUGCAGCCAUGCCGCGUGUAUGAAGAAGGCCUUCGGGUUGUAAAGUACUUUCAGUGGGGAGGAAGGCGAUGAAGUUAAUAACUUCGUCGAUUGACGUUACCCGCAGAAGAAGCACCGGCUAACUCCGUGCCAGCAGCCGCGGUAAUACGGAGGGUGCAAGCGUUAAUCGGAAUUACUGGGCGUAAAGCGCACGCAGGCGGUCUGUCAAGUCGGAUGUGAAAUCCCCGGGCUCAACCUGGGAACUGCAUUCGAAACUGGCAGGCUAGAGUCUUGUAGAGGGGGGUAGAAUUCCAGGUGUAGCGGUGAAAUGCGUAGAGAUCUGGAGGAAUACCGGUGGCGAAGGCGGCCCCCUGACAAAGACUACGCUCAGGUCGAAGC